UGGCCUCUCGCGAGGCGAGGAAUCGCGUGCCGAUGUACGCGGCAUCGGCGCCGAGCGCGAGUGCGGCGGCGAUCGCAUCGCCGGUGGCGAU
rnacentral:tRNA from 1 species